rnacentral:tRNA from 1 species
AGGGCUAUAGCUCAGCGGUGGAGUGACUCGUCUAAACCCCAGCCAGAGUGUCUACAGUUUGAAUCUGUAUAGUCCUA